CAGGCCUAACACAUGCAAGUCGAGCGCCGUAGCAAUACGGAGCGGCAGACGGGAGAGUAACACGUGGGAACGUGCCCUUCAGUCCGGAACAACCCAGGGAAACUUGGGCUAAUACCGGAUACGUCCGUAAGGAGAAAGAUUUAUCGCUGAAGGAUCGGCCCGCGUCUGAUUAGCUAGUUGGUGGGGUAACGGCCCACCAAGGCGACGAUCAGUAGCUGGUCUGAGAGGAUGAUCAGCCUCACUGGGACUGAGACACGGCCCAGACUCCUACGGGAGGCAGCAGUGGGGAAUCUUGGACAAUGGGCGCAAGCCUGAUCCAGCCAUGCCGCGUGAGUGAUGAAGGCCUUAGGGUUGUAAAGCUCUUUCGACGGGGACGAUAAUGACGGUACCCGUAGAAGAAGCCCCGGCUAACUUCGUGCCAGCAGCCGCGGUAAUACA
rnacentral:rRNA from 1 species